rnacentral:misc_RNA from 1 species
AACGCAAAUGGCGCUCUCGGCAUUCCCGGGAGCAUGUCUGUCUGAGUGUCAUUUAAAUAACCUCAUGCCGGCGCUGCACUGUUGUAACGACGGUGCGCGCGGGUGUGGUGUUGAGGUGGUCACGGACCUUUUCGACAUUAAAAGUCCGAGUCCCUUUAAAGAACGAGACGCGCAACGCCGAAUACACUUCGACAUCGCUCGCCCUUAAAUGGUGUGACAAUUUGCUCGAAUGCGUAGCACUUUCUAACGCCAGGCCUGGGGAGGAGACGGCAGCGAAGAGGCGAGGCGUGGGUCUGGGAAGGGUUGGCCGGGUGUUUUCUCACGAACGCACUUUGCCAACCUCUCCUUUUUUUUUUCAACCUUGACCUCAGAUCAGGCAAGAUUACCCGCUGAAUUUAA